rnacentral:rRNA from 1 species
UACGUAGGGUGCAAGCGUUGUCCGGAAUUAUUGGGCGUAAAGGGCUCGUAGGCGGUCCAUCGCGUCGGGAGUGAAAAGCUGGGGCUCAACCCCAGUCCUGCUUUCGAUACGGGUGGACUAGAGGUAUGCAGGGGAGAACGGAAUUCCCGGUGUAGCGGUGAAAUGCGCAGAUAUCGGGAGGAACACCAAUGGCGAAGGCAGCUCGCUGGGACGGUACUGACGCUGAGACGCGAAAGCGUGGGGAGCAAACAGG